AGUGAACGCUGGCGGCGUGCCUAAUACAUGCAAGUCGAACGGAGAUUAAGUAGCUUGCUACUUAUUAUUAGUGGCGCACGGGUGAGUAUUAUAUAGCUAACUUGCCCAUUACUGAGGGACAACAGUUGGAAACGACUGAUCAUAUAUCAUAUACUGUAUUUAUCUACGUAGAUACGGGAAAGUUUUUCGGUAUUGGAUAGGGCUAUAUCGUAUCAGCUAGUUGGUAAGGUAAUGGCUUACCAAGGCUAUGACGCGUCACUGGUCUGAGAGGAUGAUCAGUCACACUGGAACUGAGACACGGUCCAGACUCCUACGGGAGGCAGCAGUAGGGAAUAUUGCUCAAUGGGGGAAACCCUGAAGCAGCAACGCCGCGUGGAGGAUGACACUUUUCGGAGCAUAAACUCCUUUUCUUGGGAAAGAAUUAUGACGGUACCCAAGGAAUAAGCACCGGCUAACUCCGUG
rnacentral:rRNA from 1 species